UCACACCCUGGGAAUUGGUUUCGCCCCGAAGCAUCGGACCAAUGAUCACCCAUGACUUCUUUGUACCACUAGUGCCACAAAGGCCUUUGGUGGUCUUAUUGGCGCAUACCACGGUGGGGUCUUCGACUGGGGUGAAGUCGUAACAAGGUAGCCGUAGGGGAACCUGUGGCUGGAUUGAAUCCUUC
rnacentral:ncRNA from 1 species